rnacentral:tRNA from 1 species
GAAAAAUUAGUUAAAAAAUAACAUUAAUUUGUCAAAUUAAAAUUAUUAAUAUUAAUAUUUUUCU